GGCGCUAUAGUGUAGUGGUUAUCACUCAGGAUUCUGACCUCUGAAAUUCCUGAAACCCAGGUUCGAUCCCUGGUAGCGCCU